GAUGAACGCUAGCGAUAGGCUUAACACAUGCAAGUCGAGGGGCAGCACGAAUUAGCAAUAGUUUGGUGGCGACCGGCGCACGGGUGCGUAACACGUAUACAACCUACCUUCAAUUGGGGGAUAACCUGGAGAAAUUCGGACUAAUAUCCCAUAGUAAACAGAAGAGGCAUCUUUUUUGUUUUAAAGAUUUAUUGAUUGGAGAUGGGUAUGCGUAGGAUUAGCUAGUUGGUAAGGUAACGGCUUACCAAGGCGACGAUCCUUAGGGGUUCUGAGAGGAAGGUCCCCCACACUGGUACUGAGACACGCACCAGACUCCUACGGGAGGCAGCAGUGAGGAAUAUUGGGCAAUGGUCGAGAGACUGAACCAGCCAAGUCGCGUGAAGGAAGACGGCUCUAUGAGUUGUAAACUUCUUUUGUACAGGAGUAAAGUGAGACACGUGUGUUUUAUUGCAAGUACUGUACGAAUAAGCAUCGGCUAACUCCGUGCCAGCAGCCGCGGUAAUACGGAGGAUGCAAGCGUUAUCCGGAUUUAUUGGGUUUAAAGGGUGCGUAGGCGGUAUUACAAGUCAGGGGUGAAAUCUUGGUGCUUAACAUUAAAAUUGCCUUUGAAACUGUGGUACUUGAGUGUAAAAGAGGUAGGCGGAAUGUGUUGUGUAGCGGUGAAAUGCAUAGAUAUAACACAGAACCCCGAUUGCGAAGGCAGCUUACUAUCAUACAACUGACGCUGAUGCACGAAAGCGUGGGGAUCAAACAGGAUUAGAUACCCUGGUAGUCCACGCAGUAAACGAUGAUUACUAGCUGUUAGCGAUAUAUUGUUAGUGGCUAAGCGAAAGCGAUAAGUAAUCCACCUGGGGAGUACGUUCGCAAGAAUGAAACUCAAAGGAAUUGACGGGGGCCCGCACAAGCGGAGGAACAUGUGGUUUAAAUUCGAUGAUACGCGAAGAACCUUACCCCG
rnacentral:rRNA from 1 species